rnacentral:rRNA from 1 species
GGUUAAGCGACUAAGCGUACACGGUGGAUGCCCUGGCAGUCAGAGGCGAUGAAGGACGUGCUAAUCUGCGAUAAGCGUCGGUAAGGUGAUAUGAACCGUUAUAACCGGCGAUUUCCGAAUGGGGAAACCCAGUGUGUUUCGACACACUAUCAUUAACUGAAUCCAUAGGUUAAUGAGGCGAACCGGGGGAACUGAAACAUCUAAGUACCCCGAGGAAAAGAAAUCAACCGAGAUUCCCCCAGUAGCGGCGAGCGAACGGGGAGCAGCCCAGAGCCUGAAUCAGUGUGUGUGUUAGUGGAAGCGUCUGGAAAGGCGCGCGAUACAGGGUGACAGCCCCGUACACAAAAAUGCACAUACUGUGAGCUCGAUGAGUAGGGCGGGACACGUGGUAUCCUGUCUGAAUAUGGGGGGACCAUCCUCCAAGGCUAAAUACUCCUGACUGACCGAUAGUGAACCAGUACCGUGAGGGAAAGGCGAAAAGAACCCCGGCGAGGGGAGUGAAAAAGAACCUGAAACCGUGUACGUACAAGCAGUGGGAGCACGCUUAGGCGUGUGACUGCGUACCUUUUGUAUAAUGGGUCAGCGACUUAUAUUCUGUAGCAAGGUUAACCGAAUAGGGGAGCCGAAGGGAAACCGAGUCUUAACUGGGCGUUAAGUUGCAGGGUAUAGACCCGAAACCCGGUGAUCUAGCCAUGGGCAGGUUGAAGGUUGGGUAACACUAACUGGAGGACCGAACCGACUAAUGUUGAAAAAUUAGCGGAUGACUUGUGGCUGGGGGUGAAAGGCCAAUCAAACCGGGAGAUAGCUGGUUCUCCCCGAAAGCUAUUUAGGUAGCGCCUCGUGAAUUCAUCUCCGGGGGUAGAGCACUGUUUCGGCAAGGGGGUCAUCCCGACUUACCAACCCGAUGCAAACUGCGAAUACCGGAGAAUGUUAUCACGGGAGACACACGGCGGGUGCUAACGUCCGUCGUGAAGAGGGAAACAACCCAGACCGCCAGCUAAGGUCCCAAAGUCAUGGUUAAGUGGGAAACGAUGUGGGAAGGCCCAGACAGCCAGGAUGUUGGCUUAGAAGCAGCCAUCAUUUAAAGAAAGCGUAAUAGCUCACUGGUCGAGUCGGCCUGCGCGGAAGAUGUAACGGGGCUAAACCAUGCACCGAAGCUGCGGCAGCGACGCUGAUGCGUUGUUGGGUAGGGGAGCGUUCUGUAAGCCUGCGAAGGUGUGCUGUGAGGCAUGCUGGAGGUAUCAGAAGUGCGAAUGCUGACAUAAGUAACGAUAAAGCGGGUGAAAAGCCCGCUCGCCGGAAGACCAAGGGUUCCUGUCCAACGUUAAUCGGGGCAGGGUGAGUCGACCCCUAAGGCGAGGCCGAAAGGCGUAGUCGAUGGGAAACAGGUUAAUAUUCCUGUACUUGGUGUUACUGCGAAGGGGGGACGGAGAAGGCUAUGUUGGCCGGGCGACGGUUGUCCCGGUUUAAGCGUGUAGGCUGGUUUUCCAGGCAAAUCCGGAAAAUCAAGGCUGAGGCGUGAUGACGAGGCACUACGGUGCUGAAGCAACAAAUGCCCUGCUUCCAGGAAAAGCCUCUAAGCAUCAGGUAACAUCAAAUCGUACCCCAAACCGACACAGGUGGUCAGGUAGAGAAUACCAAGGCGCUUGAGAGAACUCGGGUGAAGGAACUAGGCAAAAUGGUGCCGUAACUUCGGGAGAAGGCACGCUGAUAUGUAGGUGAAGUCCCUUGCGGAUGGAGCUGAAAUCAGUCGAAGAUACCAGCUGGCUGCAACUGUUUAUUAAAAACACAGCACUGUGCAAACACGAAAGUGGACGUAUACGGUGUGACGCCUGCCCGGUGCCGGAAGGUUAAUUGAUGGGGUCAGCGCAAGCGAAGCUCUUGAUCGAAGCCCCGGUAAACGGCGGCCGUAACUAUAACGGUCCUAAGGUAGCGAAAUUCCUUGUCGGGUAAGUUCCGACCUGCACGAAUGGCGUAAUGAUGGCCAGGCUGUCUCCACCCGAGACUCAGUGAAAUUGAACUCGCUGUGAAGAUGCAGUGUACCCGCGGCAAGACGGAAAGACCCCGUGAACCUUUACUAUAGCUUGACACUGAACAUUGAGCCUUGAUGUGUAGGAUAGGUGGGAGGCUU